rnacentral:tRNA from 1 species
GGUGCCGUGGUGAAGUGGUAACACGGCGGUCUGCAAAACCGCUACGCAGGGGUUCGAAUCCCCUCGGCACCUCCA